rnacentral:lncRNA from 1 species
CCUCAUAUCAUUAGUUGCUUAAGCAGCUAGCUUAACUACUUUGUGAUACUGGGAAAUUGGGAAAUUAAAAACUUUCUUUUUCUGCUCCUCAGUUGAGCAUAGGAAGCAAGCAAAAGGUGUUUUUUUAAAGCCAAUUAAGGCAGCUCUAUACUUCUUAGAGAACAAUUUUUUAAAUUGAAAGCUGUCUCCCGAAAGUAAAAGGAGUUAAAAAGGAGACAGAGGGAGGAUUUUUUUCCCCUUUUCUUUUCUUAAAGGAGGUUGACCAAAUAAGGUUGUGUUGUGAAACUGUAACAAUGCAAAUGCGGUCUUUCCAAUAACAUUUUUGUGGUGUGCUGAAACACUGCAAGGAGACUUUGAGAAACAAGUCAGAGUUGCCAGGAAACAGGGUAAAUGUUGUCCAGCAACAAAUUCUAUAAAGUGGCAAAACAGUCUAGAGGUUUCCCCUUUUAAAGUUGUGCAUCUAAGUGGUAAUGUGUGAAUGAUAUAACCAGAGGUUUGAGAAGACAGGCCCUGUGCAAGGAGUCACAUCAGAGAGAUGGGAUCAGAUACAAUUCCCCGACAGCCCAAGUUUACACACCACCAGCUGUGGAAGGUAAAGCGCCAGGCCCACCACUGAGCCCCCAACCCAUUGUGCCCAGUGCUACCAAAGAAGGGAGGUUCUUGGGAAAGAUGUCCUCUGAAACAUCAAUUCCCACCUUGUCCUGUUUGAAGGGAUGUCUAGCUGAAGUCCACUUUCAAGAUGAAGAACCCAAACACAUGCUCACACAUUUUGCUGCCUGA